rnacentral:lncRNA from 1 species
CAGCCUGCCACAAAGAGCCGUCUAUUAGGCCCCUGUGGUGUGUGUGCAGCAAACCCACAGAUUCAGCAGUCGCUCAGGAUGAGGCACCAGCCCAGAACCGAAUUCAUGCAAUUUGAACACUGACCUAUGAUUAUUCUCAGCGAAUGGUGGCAAAAAGCAGCCCAAGGUUCCAAGGUUUGAUUACAAAAAGAGCAUAACGUUACAUGAGUGCAUGGCAGUAACUAUAAAAGUCCCAAACUGCUACAGCUAAGGCAUUUUCUCUCCAAGCUACACGCUUUAGGCAGUGAGGAGGCAUGGGCUGUCUCCGAAAGGAUGAAAUCCUCUCCUCCAUGGGGCGAGAGGGAGAGGGAGAGGUGCUCGUGGCUGCCGUGCAGCCGCCUUUCUCUCCAUCCAGCCACACCUAGCACACGCGCUGGCAGCUCAGCUCGUUCAAUCAGCAAGAUAAAUCAUCAGCCUUAAUGCUUUUGAAGUGUGUCCCAGGCAAACCACCUCGUGAAGAACCUGCACCCGCUCUCUGCUAAGCUCCCAGUGCCGCUCAAUGGGACCUCCAGGAGCUGGUGCACAGCCGACGCUCGUGGUGGAGGCUCAGCUUUUCAAAGCCCUUUGUUCAGCUGCCUUUCAGCAACCGCUAAGCAAUUUGUGUUUGCACCCUGCUAUUUGUUAAAGCUGGUUCAGGAAGGAAAAGGAUUCAGUGCCUGUUUCAGAUCAAUCCCCUUAGAAAUGGUCACUUAGCCCGAGAUGAAAAUGAAGGAUUCUCAGUUCUGGGAGGGCACAGCUCAAGUCUGAGCAAUCCCUUCGAAAUAUCCCUGCGAGGUGAUGAAAGAAUGGGAGUUUUUCUGAGCAGAGGGGGAUUACCAGUGCAGUCAGCAUCUCUGCUUUGUGGAAGCUGUUUGAGUCUGCGAUGAGAGGCCGAGCACAGACAGCAAGAUGUGGAGCUCCCAGUGCAACAUGACAGUGUCUGGAAAACAUGCAAGAGGAGGCCAUAAAAUGCCAGAACCAGCCUGCUACAGUCCUCUGCUGCACCACUCACACCUCCCACUCUUCCAUGCCUACAGCCACCUCGCUUCCUUCUUCUGGGAAGGGGCUAAUGUUGCAGCCAGCCGUUCUGACUACUUUACAACUCCUGACAAGAUUUAGAUCGUUCCCUGCUUUACCUCCGUGAUGAUGCAGCAGGCUGUGCCAAGAGGAAAUCUUCAAAAGACUUUGUGUAAUGUCAUAGCUAAAGUGCUGCAACCCGCCAGAUCUGGGCUCAGGAUCUCCUCCAUGAGCUCUGCCGUGUGAGCAGCCCUGGUUAUUCCUCCCUUCUGCUGGCUGCCCAGGGAACCCUUCCACCCUUUUUCCAUGUUGCUUAAAUAAAUGGUGCUUAAAUAAAUGAAGCCA